UACGAAGGGGGCUAGCGUUGUUCGGAAUUACUGGGCGUAAAGGGCGCGUAGGCGGCUGUGCAAGUCAGAUGUGAAAGCCCUGGGCUCAACCCAGGAUGUGCAUUUGAUACUGCGCGGCUAGAGUGUCGGAGAGGAUGGUGGAAUUCCGAGUGUAGAGGUGAAAUGCGUAGAGAUCUGGAGGAACACCGAUGGCGAAGGCAGCCUUCUGGGCCAACACUGACGCUCAUGCACGAAAGCGUGGGGAGCAAACAGG
rnacentral:rRNA from 1 species